rnacentral:lncRNA from 1 species
CACAAACUGGAUAUGACUCAGAAGUCAACGGACUCAGUAGCCCAAAUUUCUCCAAUUUGUUAACCGUGUCUUCCGCUAUAUGACCUAGCCUUAGGUGCCACAGAUACCUAUCAUUUAGACUAUCUCUAGGCCUUUUAAUUCCCAUGGCAUUCACAUUUUGCUCGAUAUGAAAUACAGAUAUAUCAAUAUGUAGCUGAUAGAGACCAUUAAUAAGAAAAUCAUUUACAACUUUAUUAUUUUCAUAAAAUAUGUUACAAUGGUUCUUAUGAAAGCUAAUCACAUAGCCUUCUUGUGCUAAACAUGAAACAGAAAUCAAAUUCCUGCUUGCUGCAGGCACAUAAUAACAAUCUCUAAAAACUAAAUCUAAUCCUAACGGUAAUCGCAG